CCUAAGGAGGGGAAAACCCCGGGAAAAGGGAGAUAAAGACCGGAAAGCUAAUAAGGCCGGAAAGGGGGGGGGGUUGAAGCUCUAGCGGAUUAGGAGGGUCCGGCGGCUUCCCAGGUGGUAGGGGGGGAAAAGAACUCUCUACCCUUCUACGCGUACGGGUGUGGGGAAACAUACCCCGAAGAGGGAUUCUGAAACACAAAUCCAAACCCUACGGGGGGCAGCAGGCGCGAAACUUUGCCCUGGCGGAAACUGUGGAUCAGGAACCUCCUGUUGGCUGGCUUAAGACCCAGUCUUUUCUUAACUCUUCAAAGGUUGAAGAAAAAGGGGGUGGGAAAGGACGGUGCCAGCCGCCCGCGGUAAUACCGGCAGCCUCAAGUGGUCGUCGCUUUUGUUGGGCCUAAAACGUCCGUAGCCUGGUUUGGUACAUUCGUGGGUAAAUCAACCUCGCUUCAACUGAGUUGAAUUCUGCGAAGGACUGGCCAGACUAUGGGACCGGGAGAGGUGUGGGGUACUCUCAGGGUAGGGGUAAAAUCUCUGUCAUCCUGAGAGGACCACCUGUUGCGAAGGCGCCACACUAGAACGGAUCCGACGGUCAGGGACGAAGCUCUAGGGGGCACGAACCAGGAUUUAGAUACCCGGGGUAGUUCCUAGGUGUAAAACGCUGUGAACUUUGGAUGUUCGGGAGAUUCCUCCAAAAGGCGUUUCCUCUCAGCUGCUCGGAAGCUGAAAUGAUGAUUAAGUCUCAACUGCCUGGGAAAGUAACGGGUCGCAAAGGCUGAAAACUU
rnacentral:rRNA from 1 species